rnacentral:rRNA from 1 species
GACGAACGCUGGCGGCGUGCUUAACACAUGCAAGUCGAACGGUGAAGCACCUUCCUUUUGGUGGGUGUGGAUGAGUGGCGAACGGGUGAGUAACACGUGAGUAACCUGCCCCCUUCUUCUGGAUAACCGCAUGAAAGUGUGGCUAAUACGGUAUAUUCUGUGCCUGCUGCAUGGUGGGUGUGGGAAAGAUGCGCUUUUGGGUGUUUUUGGUGGGGGAUGGGCUCGCGGCCUAUCAGCUUGUUGGUGGGGUGAUGGCCUACCAAGGCGGUGACGGGUAGCCGGCCUGAGAGGGUGGACGGUCACACUGGGACUGAGACACGGCCCAGACUCCUACGGGAGGCAGCAGUGGGGAAUAUUGCACAAUGGGCGCAAGCCUGAUGCAGCGACGCCGCGUGAGGGAUGGAGGCCUUCGGGUUGUAAACCUCUUUCGCCAGUGAAGCAGGCCUGUCCCUUGUGGGUGGGUUGACGGUAGCUGGAUAAGAAGCGCCGGCUAACUACGUG